UAAUACGGAGGGUGCAAGCGUUGUCCGGAUUUAUUGGGUUUAAAGGGAGCGUAGGCGGCCUUGUAAGUCAGUGGUGAAAUCCAGCAGCUUAACUGUUGAACUGCCAUUGAUACUGCGAGGCUUGAGUACUGAUGAGGUAGGCGGAAUUGAUAGUGUAGCGGUGAAAUGCAUAGAUAUUAUCAAGAACACCGAUUGCGAAGGCAGCUUACUAAGGAGUAACUGACGCUGAGGCUCGAAAGCGUGGGGAUCGAACAGGAUUAGAUACCCUGGUAGUCCACGCCUUAAACGAUGAUUACUCGAUGUUGGCGAUAUACAGCCAGCGUCCAAGGGAAACCGUUAAGUAAUCCACCUGGGGAGUACGACCGCAAGGUUG
rnacentral:rRNA from 1 species